GAGCUUGCUCCCUUAGGUCAGCGGCGGACGGGUGAGUAACACGUGGGUAACCUGCCUGUAAGACUGGGAUAACUCCGGGAAACCGGGGCUAAUACCGGAUGCUUGAUUGAACCGCAUGGUUCCAAUCAUAAAAGGUGGCUUUCAGCUACCACUUACUGAUGGACCCGCGGCGCAUUAGCUAGUUGGUGAGGUAACGGCUCACCAAGGCGACGAUGCGUAGCCGACCUGAGAGGGUGAUCGGCCACACUGGGACUGAGACACGGCCCAGACUCCUACGGGAGGCAGCAGUAGGGAAUCUUCCGCAAUGGACGAAAGUCUGACGGAGCAACGCCGCGUGAGUGAUGAAGGUUUUCGGAUCGUAAAACUCUGUUGUUAGGGAAGAACAAGUACCGUUCGAAUAGGGCGGCACCUUGACGGUACCUAACCAGAAAGCCACGGCUAACUACGUGCCAGCAGCCGCGGUAAUACGUAGGUGGCAAGCGUUGUCCGGAAUUAUUGGGCGUAAAGCGCGCGCAGGCGGUUUCUUAAGUCUGAUGUGAAAGCCCCCGGCUCAACCGGGGAGGGUCAUUGGAAACUGGGGAACUUGAGUGCAGAAGAGGAGAGUGGAAUUCCACGUGUAGCGGUGAAAUGCGUAGAGAUGUGGAGGAACACCAGUGGCGAAGGCGACUCCCUGGUCUGUAACUGACGCUGAGG
rnacentral:rRNA from 1 species